UGGUUGGAAAAGUUAUUUGUGGUUCCCGAGUGAGAGUUGAACUAUCAACAGGCAUGCCUCGGAGAUCUCGAUUUGAUAGACCACCUGCCCGACGUCCCUUUGAUCCCAAUGAUAGAUGCUAUGAGUGUGGCGAAAAGGGACAUUAUGCUUAUGAUUGUCAUCGCUAUAGCCGCCGAAGAAGAAGCAGGUUUCUUCGUUUGAGUCAGUCGCCUUGAUUCAGAAUGUCACGAGCCUUAUGAUAUCAUGCUGAGGCGCCUUGCAAAUCCGACAAUUAAGAUCCUCCUAGACCUUGAGGUGAUCAGCAUAAGAGGCCAGAUCCCCUCGAGUCAUCUACACCUAGCUUCACCUUAUUCUUUAAAGGGCAGAAAAUUUGAGACGGUGAUCGCCGUAACAGUAAAUUUGGCUUACAAUUGGGGGCCCCUCCGGUUUAGAAAGAGGAACACCAGAUUGACCACAUUCCCAACUAGAAAAAUCUUCUUGCGUCAAUCAAGCCUCACCUGGCUCAUUUGGCUGUCAGUUUGAUCGUCGUGUAGAUUGAAGAAAACAUCUAGAUGCAGCGAUCGGCUAUAGAUACUUCUAGAUCGUCUAGAUCUACUAGACCAUGGGCCAAAGAGGGUCGACCUGCAAACUUGCAAGGUUUAUUUUAAAUACACAUUACAGUGUUUUAUAUUAUGUUAAUCUAAAAUGUAAUUGAGCUUUUAACAAAUCUUUUUUUAGGUAGUUUAAAAAAAAAAAAAAACGACAACUAAUAGGCCCAGAGUUUAUUUCCAAAUGAGACACUAAAUUUAAAUAGUUUGAGAUUUGGUUUCAGCAGAGGCACACCGACUCUAAAAGGAGUUGCCAUCUAAUAUUAUAUUUUUUUCUGACUUGAAAAAUAGGUCACGGUCUAGAUCACAUUCGAGAUCCAGAGGUAGACGAUACUCUCGCUCACGCAGCAGGAGCAGGGGAAGGAGGUCAAGAUCAGCAUCUCCUCGGCGAUCAAGAUCUGUGUCUCUUCGUAGAUCAAGAUCAGCUUCACUCAGACGAUCUAGGUCUGGUUCUAUAAAAGGAUCGAGAUCCCGGUCCAGGUCGAGAUCAAGAUCCAGGUCUCUUUCACGGCCUCGAAGCAGCCGAUCAAAGUCCAGAUCUCCAUCUCCAAAAAGAAGUCGUUCCCCAUCAGGAAGUCCGAGAAGAAGUGCAAGUCCUGAAAGAGUGGACUGAAGUGCUCAAGUUCACCUUUUAGGGAAAAGUUAUUUUGUUUACAUUAUUAUAAGGGAUUUGUGAUGUCUGUAAAGUGUAACUUAGGGAGGGUGUUUCAACCAUCUAAUCAAAAUGGAUCUGGACUAUUACUCUGUAAUUUACAGCAGUAAGAUAAUACAAAUUUUUGUUGAAUGUAUUAACAUCCUAUGGUCUGAAAAUGUGGAUUUUUAUUUGGCACAUUUAAAAUAAAAUGUUUCUAAUUAGA